ACUCCUACGGGAGGCAGCAGUAGGGAAUAUUGGCAAUGGUCGGAAGACUGACCCAGCCAUGCCGCGUGCAGGAAGACGGCCUAUUGGUUGUAAACUGCUUUUAUCUGGGAAGAAAAGGGCCAUGCGUGGCAAAUUGCCGGUACCAGAUGAAUAAGCACCGGCUAACUCCGUGCCAGCAGCCGCGGUAAUACGGAGGGGUGCAAGCGUUGUCCGGAUUUAUUGGGUUUAAAGGGUGCGUAGGCGGCUGAUUAAGUCAGCGGUGAAAGACUCCGGCUCAACCGGAGCAGUGCCGUUGAUACUGGUUAGCUUGAGUGCUGCAGGGGUACAUGGAAUUGAUGGUGUAGCGGUGAAAUGCAUAGAUACCAUCAGGAACACCGAUAGCGAAGGCAUUGUACUGGGCAGCAACUGACGCUGAGGCACGAAAGCGUGGGGAUCGAACAGGAUUAGAUACCCUGGUAGGAUAGCG
rnacentral:rRNA from 1 species